AUAUGUGUUGGGCCACUAUGAAACCAUCAAAGUGUUUAGGCGCUCAAUGGUAUAUUUGGCGGCACUAUAAGGAUUUGCCCAGGGGAGACCACAUGUUUCCCGAAUAGGAAACAUGGGGCAACCAAAUGCGCAGGCCGACGCCCUUUGUUCGGCCCGGUGUGGGGCGCUGGGUGUUCUAUAUUUCUUCGUUGUUUUUUUUU
rnacentral:lncRNA from 1 species